CGGGGUGUAGCACAGUUGGUUAGCGCACCUGCUUUGGGAGCAGGAGGUCCCCCGUUCGAGUCGGGGUACCCCGA
rnacentral:tRNA from 1 species